CCUACGGGAUGCAGCAGUGGGGAAUAUUGCACAAUGGGGGAAACCCUGAUGCAGCGACGCCGCGUGAGUGAAGAAGUUUCUCGGUAUGUAAAGCUCUAUCUGCAGGGAAGAAAAUGACGGUACCUGACUAAGAAGCCCCGGCUAACUACGUACCAGCAGCCGCUGUAUUACGUAGGGGGCACGCGUUAUCCGGAUUUACUGGGGGUAAAGGGAGCGUAGACGGGGCUGCAGGUCCGGAGUGAGAGCCCAUGGGUUAACCAGGGUACUGCUUUGGAAACUGGGGAGCUUGAGUGCGGGAGGGGCAGGCGGAAUUCCUGGUGUAGCGGUGAAAGGCGUAGAUAUUAGGGGGAACACCGGCGGCGAAGGCGGCAUGCUGGCCCGUAACUGACGUUGAGGCUCGAAAGCGUGGGGAGCAAACAGGAUUAGAUACCCCUGUAGUC
rnacentral:rRNA from 1 species